rnacentral:rRNA from 1 species
AAUCAACGCUGGCGGCGUGCCUAACACAUGCAAGUCGCACGAGAAAGGGGCUUCGGCCCUGAGUAAAGUGGCGCACGGGUGAGUAACACGUGAAUCAUCUACCCUCGAGUGGGGAAUAACCUAGAGAAAUCUGGGCUAAUACCGCAUAACACUUACGAGUCAAAGCAGCAAUGCGCUUGGGGAGGAGUUCGCGGCCGAUUAGUUAGUUGGCGGGGUAAUGGCCCACCAAGACGAUGAUCGGUAUCCGGCCUGAGAGGGCGCACGGACACA